CCUACGGGAGGCAGCAGUGGGGAAUAUUGCACAAUGGGGGAAACCCUGAUGCAGCGACGCCGCGGGAGUGAAGAAGUAUUUCGGUACGUAAAGCUCUAUCAGCAGGGAAGAAAAUGACGGUACCUGACUAAGAAGCCCCGGCUAACUACGUGCCAGCAGCCGCGGUAAUACGUAGGGGGCAAGCGUUAUCCGGAUUUACUGGGUGUAAAGGGAGCGUAGACGGCAGCGCAAGUCUGGAGUGAAAUCCCAUGGCUUAACCAUGGAACUGCUUUGGAAACUGUGCAGCUAGAGUGCAGGAGAGGUAAGCGGAAUUCCUAGUGUAGCGGUGAAAUGCGUAGAUAUUAGGAGGAACACCAGUGGCGAAGGCGGCUUACUGGACUGUAACUGACGUUGAGGCUCGAAAGCGUGGGGAGCAAACAGGAUUAGAUACCCCUGUAGUC
rnacentral:rRNA from 1 species